AUACUUACAUGACAAGGAGAUACUAUGACCAUGAAGGUGGUUUUCCCAGGGCGAGGCUUAUCCAUUGCAUUCUGGAUGUGCUGACCCCUGCAAUUUCCCCAAAUGUGGGAAACUUGACUGCAUAAUUUGUGGUAGUGGGGGACUGCGUUUGUGCUCUCCCAUG
ensembl:snRNA U1 U1 spliceosomal RNA